AUACUUCAGUUCAUUAGUGUAAUGAUUGGGUGUUCAUGCCAUGUGCUAAGAUAUGUAUGUCUCCCUCAAAUUUUGCUACAACAUUGACACAUUACCUGUCUGACC
rfam:Cavia porcellus supercont2_236 genomic scaffold, whole genome shotgun sequence.